rfam:Eucalyptus grandis cultivar BRASTZ1 unplaced genomic scaffold scaffold_8, whole genome shotgun sequence.
UGGGGUGUGGCCAAGUGGUAAGGCAACGGAUUUUGGUCUCACUAUUCAAAGGUACAAAUCCUUCCAUCUCGA